UAUAGUCAGUUUCUGAUUUUCUAGGAAUUCAGGGCCUUCCUUUUUUCCAUGCUGGCUGUCUACCAGCUGUGUUUGUGAAUGUUCAAGAGAAGAUAAAGGAUGGAGAGCUGGAAUCAGUCAACCGAAUUGCUUGUCAGGAGACUCAGAAGAUUUGGAGAAAGAUGAUAAAAUGCAUAUGGGAUGAAAUGAAGUGAGAUGAAUAACGCAGGCAUUGUGACAUUGCAUUAAGCUACUAUUGACCCCCUGACAAUUCAUCAGAAGGAGGAUCAUCUGCUUCCAGCCCACAGUUAACCACAGGAACGGCAGAGGACUACAAUCUAAGACAAGCAAGCUACAAAACCACAGGCAAAUCUGGAGAACAAAGGAAAGGUAGCUCUUUUAUAGAGGAGAGAGAGGAGUUGGGAAGGGCUGUUAUAAACAAAAACUCCACUGGCUUAAACUGAGAGCUGGAAGUAUAGUGGUUUUUCAUUGGCUGAGUUAUGACUCUCUCUCAUUGGUUGGACUGUUGAGGGGGGCCAAGAAGAAACCUUCCUUCCUC